UGGGGAAUAUUGCACAAUGGGCGCAAGCCUGAUGCAGCAACGCCGCGUGAACGAUGAAGGUCUUCGGAUCGUAAAGUUCUGUUGCAGGGGAAGAUAAUGACGGUACCCUGUGAGGAAGCUCCGGCUAACUACGUGCCAGCAGCCGCGGUAAUACGUAGGGGGCUAGCGUUAUCCGGAUUUACUGGGCGUAAAGGGUGCGUAGGUGGUCUUUCAAGUCGGUGGUUAAAGGCUACGGCUCAACCGUAGUUAGCCUCCGAAACUGGAAGACUUGAGUGCAGGAGAGGAAAGUGGAAAUCCCAGUGUAGCGGUGAAAUGCGUAGAUAUUGGGAGGAACAACAGUAGCGAAGGCGGCUUUCUGGACUGCAAAUGACACUGAGGCACGAAAGCGUGGGUAGCAAACAGG
rnacentral:rRNA from 1 species